rfam:Rattus norvegicus chromosome 7, whole genome shotgun sequence.
UAAGGCACCUGUAGUACAGGAAACCAACUACCAAGGUGAAAUACAAAUGUCUUUAGAAGGCCUGGGCUCUCUGUGGGGCCAGCCUGCAUGCUGAGUCCAAUGCUUGCCUCUGGUAGAGGAGGGCAUUCAACUGUUGUGGGCAGGGAGCUUGGCAGUGAGGACUUUUUAGG